GAUGAACGCUGGCGGCGUGCUUAAUACAUGCAAGUCGAGCGAACGGACGAGAAGCUUGCUUCUCGGAUGUUAGCGGAGGACGGGUGAGUAACGCGUGGAUAACCUCCCUAUAAUUCUGGGAUAACUUCGGGAAACCGGAGCUAAUCCCGUAUAAUCUUUUGAACCGCAUGGUUCAAAAGAAAAAGACGGUCUUGCUGUCACGUAUAGAUGCAUCCGCGCUGCAUUAGCUAGUUGGUAAGGUAACGGCUUAUCAAGGGAACGAUGCAUAGCCGACCUGAGAGGGUGAUCGGCCACACUGGAACUGAGACACGGUCCAGACUCCUACGGGAGGCAGCAGUAGGGAAUCUUCCGCAAUGGGCGAAAGCCUGGCGGAGCAACGCCGCGUGAGUGAUGAAGGUCUUCGGAUCGUAAAGAUCUGUUAUUAGGGAAGAACAUAUGUGUAAGUAACUGUGCACAUCUUGACGGUACCUAAUCAGAAAGCCACGGCUAACUACGUG
rnacentral:rRNA from 1 species